rnacentral:rRNA from 1 species
CCUACGGGUGGCUGCAGUAGGGAAUUUUGCGCAAUGGGCGAAAGCCUGACGCAGCAACACCGCGUGAAUGUUAAGCCCUUCGGGGUGUAAAGUUCUGUCAAUAGGGACGAAUUUUGACUGUACCUAUAAAGGAAGCACCGGCUAACUCCGUGCCAGCAGCCGCGGUAAUACGGGGGGUGCAAGCGUUGUCCGGAAUCAUUGGGCGUAAAGCGUUCGUAGGCGGCAAGGUAAGUCUGAUGUUAAAGCCCGGGGCUCAACUCCGGUUCGGCAUUGGAUACUAUCUAGCUAGAAUGUGGUAGAGGUAAAGGGAAUUCCUGGUGUAGCGGUGAAAUGCGUAGAUAUCAGGAGGAACACCAGUGGCGAAGGCGGCUUACUGGACUGUAACUGACGUUGAGGCUCGAAAGCGUGGGGAGCAAACAGGAUUAGAUACCCUUGUAGUC